rnacentral:rRNA from 1 species
AUUGAACGCUGGCGGCAGGCUUAACACAUGCAAGUCGAGCGAGCGGCGGACGGGUGAGUAAUGUCUGGGAAACUGCCUGAUGGAGGGGGAUAACUACUGGAAACGGUAGCUAAUACCGCAUACCAUCAGAUGUGCCCAGAUGGGAUUAGCUAGUUGGUGGGGUAACGGCUCACCAAGGCGACGAUCCCUAGCUGGUCUGAGAGGAUGACCAGCCACACUGGAACGGAGACACGGUCCAGAUUCCUCCGGGAGGCAGCAGUGGGGAAUAUUGCACAAUGGGCGCAAGCCUGAUGCAGCCAUGCCGCGUGUGUGAAGAAGGCCUUCGGGUUGUAAAGCACUUUCAGCGGGGAGGCGUUACCCGCAGAAGAAGCACCGGCUAACUCCGUGCCAGCAGCCGCGGUAAUAC